CCUUCGAUAGCUCAGCUGGAAGAGCGUGAGACUGUAACUGGUUACACUACGACAUCUCAAGGUCGCUGGUUCGAACCCGGCUCGAAGGA